rnacentral:hammerhead_ribozyme from 1 species
AUCCAGUUGAAGAGUCCCAAAUAGAAUGAAACGCGCGCUCUGGAU